AAGUCGUAACAAGGUUUCCGUAGGUGAACCUGCGGAAGGAUCAUUACUGAAUAAACUUGGUUGGGUUGUUGCUGGCUUGUAUAAAAGCAUGUGCACGCCUACUCCAUUUUUUUUUAACCACCUGUGCACUUGUGUAGACCUGAAUAACUCUCGAGAAAAACUCGGUCUUGAGAAAUUGCUUUUGCAGCUUUUUCUUGUGUUUUUUUUCAGGUCUAUGUUUUUCAUAUGCUCCAUUGAAUGUUUUAGAAUGUUAUUAAUUGGACUUUUUAUGUCUAAAAACAAAUACAACUUUCAACAACGGAUCUCUUGGCUCUC
rnacentral:misc_RNA from 1 species